GAAAAAGAGAGCAAGAACUGCUAACUCAUGCACCCGUAUUUAAAAAUGCGGCUUUUUCA
rnacentral:tRNA from 1 species